AGGCAGCUACUCGUGGAUGUGUUCCAACAAAAUCCAGGAAAUAGGAGGAUAUGAGAACCAGAAAAAUGUGGGUUCAGCUUAGAGCAUUAGGUGGCCAGUGGAAGAGAAAAUGAGAGGGAGCUCAAACAAGAAAAGCAAGAUGAUUAAGUUGGUAAUGGAAGGACCAUGGCAACAGAGAAAAGGAAGAAGCUAAUUACGGAAACUGUUAGGACUCGCAUUUUGCAUGGAUUCCAGGUGAUAAACCUCUUCCACCUUUCCACUUCUUGCCAAGCCUUGUUUCCCAUUACCUUAUUAUUUGAC